CCGCGGUAAUUCCAGCUCCAAGAGCGUAUAUUAACGCUGUUGCUGUUAAAGGGUUCGUAGUUGAAUUGUGGAGUAUGGCCACGGGAUUCAGUCCUUUUCCCACGGUCUAGGAACGUCCCGACCAUACUCCGAGAACGUCAGAAACUAAGAUCACGGAAGCGUUUUUUACAAACUGCCACCGACUACGCGAGCAAUGUUCGCUGGUGGACGUCCGUGUUUUUUACUGUGACUAAAGAAGUGCGACCAAGGCAGUCCAUCGACAUGAAUUAGAAAGCAUGGGAUAACAAAGCAGCAGCCUAUGAGCUACCGUUUAGGCUUUUGUUGGUUUUAGAGGUUCGUGGGAGAUUACGGGCGUGUAGGACCGGCGUUGGGGGUUUUCCAAAAUCCCCGCGUCUCCUCCUGGCAUCGGAAACGGUGCUUGCGGGGCCUGCUUCGCUCAGGAAUGGAGGAGGGUUGCUCGGGGGAAAACGUACUUGGGCGUGAGAGGUGAAAUUCUUAGACCGCCCAAAGACGAACUACAGCGAAGGCAUUUUCCAAGGAUACCUUCCUCAAUCAAGAACCAAAGUGUGGGGAUCGAAGAUGAUUAGAGACCAUUGUAGUCCACACCACAAACGAUGACCCCCAUGAAUUGGGGAGUUUUUGCGGAGGCGCCUCCCGGCUUGUCCGGGUGGGCGUCCCGCAAUAAAGUAUUCAACCUACGUGCACGUUCUAUCCAGCCGAGAGGUAACACUCUCGGCCUUGACGGGAACAUCCUCAGCACGUUCUCUUACUGUUUCACGCGAAAGCUUUGAGGUUACAGUCUCAGGGG
rnacentral:rRNA from 1 species